ACCAGACUCCUACGGGAGGCAGCAGUGGGGGAUAUUGCACAAUGGGGGGAACCCUGAUGCAGCGACGCCGCGUGAGUGAAGACGGCAUUUGGGUUGUAAAGCUCUGUCAAUCGGGACGAAGAAGAUGACGGUACCGAUGAAGGGAGCUCCGGCUAACUACGUGCCAGCAGCCGCGGUAAUACGUAGGGAGCAAGCGUUGUCCGGAAUUACUGGGUGUAAAGGGAGCGUAGGCGGGAAUGCAAGUUGGAAGUGAAAGGUAGGGGCUCAACCCAUGAACUGCUUUCAAAACUGUAUUUCUUGAGUGAAGUAGAGGCAGGCGGAAUUCCUAGUGUAGCGGUGAAAUGCGUAGAUAUUAGGAGGAACACCAGUGGCGAAGGCGGCCUGCUGGGCUUUAACUGACGCUGAGGCUCGAAAUCGUGGGUAGCAAACAGGAUUAGAUACCCGUGUA
rnacentral:rRNA from 1 species